UUUUUGUGUUAAAAUGAAAUUAUUUUAUUUUAUUUUUUUUUGCCAUGAUUAAAAAAAAACCUGUGUAAAUAUUCAUGAAAAAAAUGUGCAAUAGGCUAUAUUUGUUUUUUUAGUCAAACGGAAUUAUCUAAACCACAAUGAGUAAAUGAACUAGCGUACACCAAUGUUCAUAUAUUUUUAGGAAUAGGCCUGUUCUGCAACAGUUACCUGUAUAUCUUUGUGAUGUUCACACUUGCCGAGGAUCAUAGUAUCAAACUUGAUAAUUCAAUGAAGUGAAGAAACAUCUCUGUAUUUACUUCCAAACUUCCUUAAUAAUACUUCUUCAACUUUCACAACAAAUUAACUUCUCAAUUCAAUUACAACUUGACUUUAUACUUCAUAAAUAACACAUACAUGAAACUUCACUUAGUAGGCCUAUAACAUUCAGCUUCAAAUAAUAAUAUUACUUCAACUAAUAAAACUUUAAUUAAUGGACCCCUAAUAUCACAAAACUUAUAACUCUAUUAAACCAUUACUAAUCGAAGGCUAAGCGAGGACCAUCGCUCUACAAGAACUACUACUAUGAGAGGAUCUCGUCUAACUGACUUUCCCCCAAUUUAUACUUUUUUAAAUCUUACAUUCCAGAAUCAUGGAAACUUCUCCGAUAAUAAUAAUAAUGGCUGAAUAAUAAUAAUAAUAAUAAAUUCGCCCUUGUGGAGCGUCACCAGAGAAUGCUGACCAUAUCCUCAAAGCUGAAUAAGAGGCCUAAACAGUCAUUGGCCCCAACCCCCCCCCCCCCC